rnacentral:lncRNA from 1 species
AUUUUUUAAAAUCUAAUUAAUUUAUAAUUAAAUAGUAAUUAUUAAAUAAAACAAAAAUAUUACAUUACACGAAUUCAAAAAAAUUCACAAGAUAAACAAGACUGUAGUAUGCAGGAAAUUUCCUUUUUUCCAAAAAGGUCCUAGUCUUCCAGAGACAGAACAGGCACGCAGACACACAGCGUGAGAGCGAGAGUUUUGAGAUAAAAGAAGAAGUUGGCGCGGCGACAGGAAUAUCUGGAAGCGAGCGACGCGCGAGCAGAGCACCGCCCCCCGGCCCGGCCGCGUUCCAUUCCGUUCCGUGGCGGCAUCCGCGCCACCGCGUGUGCUUUACAGGGGUAAUCCCCGCGGGUUACAGUUAUGCAGCGAACCACCGCCACCGCCACCGCCACGCCCGAGCGCGUCUCCGUUCGCCCUCGCUUUCUUCGUCCGCUCGCGCUCGACGCGACAUGCAUGCUGCAGCCUGCAGGCUGCAGUGCACCAACGCUGCGCGCACCGGGGGCCCUGCGCCGCUUUCUCCAACCGUCGCGUCAAUUGUUCGGUGCCACCGGCCAUCGCUGUCUCGAGGGGUUUCAGAUACGGUAAUGAUCACUCUGUCUUGAGCUGAUAUAAUAGUGGAUUAAUUAAUAAAUAAAGUAAUACAGUACCCCCUGAUGUUUUUCCCCUUCAUUUUUGGAACCAAAAAAAAUCCUGUUGCAGGAGGGGCCGAGGGGGAAAAGACGAGGGAUGUCGGAACGGGCAGGCACGGGCCGCAGGGAAUGGUACUACAUGAUACUAGCAUGGUAGGUACUGCAGGUUCAACGAGGGGCGGCAGAGACGUGGCCGGCUAAACAAAUUCGGAUUAAGGGCUGGGCACCCCAUCACCGCGAUGCCAGGGAGCAUGUGGGGAACGGACAAGCGGAGAGAAGCUGGGCAGAGGCAUCCAGUCCAGCCUGCGGAUCCAUCACCCGCCCGUCCGCUCAGUCCGCAAGCGGAAAGAUGCCGUCCGCCUCGCCCUCGCCGCUCAAGGAGCCCCCCGAGGAAUAGGAUUAGGCUAACCACCCGAGAGACAGCGGCUGUGCGCGCAUGAUUAUAGGGCCUCGUGAGAAAGCGGGCGCAUCGGUAUUAGCGUAAAGCGGCUGUGGACUACUAGGAUAGGCACCGCACCUCACCGGUCCCAAUCAUGCGUGCCUGUGGCUGGGUGUACGUGUACACUCGCCAUCUAUCUAUCCCAAACUUGGUGCUUUUGGUGUCUUGGUGCCUUUUUGUGAAGGAGGGACAUAGGAUGGAAACAGAGUUGUUUACUCAACGGCUUCUUCCACCAUGAAAGCUCCAAAAGCACAUACACAGUACGUACGCUACACGUUCAGCCAGCAAAGCCAAACGAGCGAGUCACGCGUACAUGCACGGAGCUGCGAGUUGACGCUGCGACAGUAGGAGUAGGAAUGUAGGAUGGUCACGCUCUCGCUCUCGCGCUCUAUCUUUAAAUAAAUAGGGCCCGCGGACGGGUGGCCUGCUCUGCCGCCCCGCGGGAGCCUCCCUCGUGGACCGCCGGUGCCAGGUGGGUGGAACGCACGCGCCAGCACAGCACCAACGCGGCCGCCUGAAUGAGAGCUGAGCGUUCGGCCCCCACGCCACGACGGAUCUCGUCUCGUCUCCGUCGGCAUCCCCCGUCUGAAGGCUGAUUACGCAACCGCAUCUGUCGUCUUCCACCCAGUCCUUGCCCCCCAGUUUGUUUUUGUCCCCCUCCCAUUCAUGCCUCUCACGGGUCACCGGGCUCAUGGGCGGACACGCCGCAUGCACGUACUACUCCUACACGGCUACACGCGUGCGUGCCCACGCCCCGGCCGGCCGGCCGGCCCACCCUAUAUGGGCGCACAGGUGCAUGCCGGCCCGCCCAAUCUGCAACAACGGCCACGCCCAACGUGCAACACAACGACGGCAAUCGGCAAACAAAAAUGCACGCAUGAACGAACCUGGCAUGGCACGGGGCCAGG